GUCAGGACCCAAAUCCUCACGGGGCUAGCAUGGGCCCAGGGGGUCGAACUCCUGGCAGCCCCUCUAAGAGCGAGGCCCAGGGUCACGGUUUUCCCCGGACGCUCCUCUUAGGUUACCAUGGUUACCGUUGCCCCAGUGCACUUGCGGUGUUUAGCCAAACCCUGAUGAGAGUUUAGUCUGCAGAAAAGCAAGCAGGAUCAGAAGAAACAAGUGUCGCAACAGGAGAGAGUCUGGUUAGACCAAAGAAAGAACUUCCAGCUGUGAGGAUGUGUAUGUAGUUUCAGGAGCAGUUCCUUAAAAUGUGGGCCUCAGACCUCCAGCUCAGAAUCACCUGAGAGAGUUUAUUAAAAAUAAAAUGUAGGCCCUGCUAGAGGACCUGAAUCGAAAUCAAUGGAACUGGCUUUAGGGGAACCUGCCUUUUCAUGCUUCCCCAUUUGUAUGUUCUAGAAGGGUUUUCAGGAGUUUUAUGAUUUUCCCAAUUCGGUUUGGCCCCUAUCGCUCUGAACCUGCAGCCGGAACUGACCCCCACGGCCUGCCUGCCCUAAGCCUCACAGAACCCUCCCACGCGGCCCAGUACUUGUUUUUCCUGCAACGGGUGACUAGCUGAAUUCUUAGGCCAAAAAGAAGUGGUGACUGUGAUUCUGUGCUGCUUUCCCACUCCCAAACCUCUCUCCAAACGCUCACAGCCCGCCUUUCUGAAGCUCACUCCAACUUGGCUUUUGUGUUUCAAAGCCAAUCGCUUCAUCUUGUGACGUGUUCUGGGCCAAAGGAGGAUUGGCUGCCGAGCCCAGAAAGGAGGGAAGGUGAAGUAACCAGCCCGCUGUGGAUCGGAUGCUUCCGUUACGUUACUGCCUGCUGUCCUGGUGUAGGAAUGGCUGCCUGGAACACUCCUUCCACUAGUCCACUAUGCCAACUCACCUGAUGUCCAGACUGGAAAGUGCCAGCCAUAUUCUCCACAUCGAUAUGUGCUAUGGUGCCAAACACCAGAAGUAUUUGCAGAGCGGAGGGAAAACAAGGUUUGAAUUAAACAAAACCAGAAGCCAGACUGUGAAAAAAUUCGAACCCUUCAUUGUGUCAAAUUGUAAGUGGAGAUUCUGUUCCUAUCGAUGCCUUCAAAACUGAAGUUCUCUCUGACCAGGGAGAGACCCAGUAAUGCAGCAUAUAUAAUUAUAAACACGUUAUGCAUCUCAUCAGAGAAAAAACUGCCUUAAGAGGACCUAGACUUUGUGUCUUCUUCUGUUUUUCCAACAGUGAUACAUUCUCUUUUUGCAUUCCUCUCAUAGAAAAGA
rnacentral:lncRNA from 1 species